CGCACAUUGCGCCCCUUGGUAUUCCACCGGGCAUGCCUGUUCGAGCGUCAUCCGCACCCCUCAAGCCUCGCUUGGUGUUGGGCGUCCGUCCAUCCCCACGCGGAGGACCCGCCCGGAACGGAUUGGCAGCGACGCUCCCCUGCUCCCCGCGCAGCACAUUGUUACCGGGGGGCCCGGGUACGUCCGCGUCCACGGAGAGACGAUCGAAGCUUGACCUCGAAUCAGGUAGGGAUACCCGCUGAACUUAA
rnacentral:misc_RNA from 1 species